rnacentral:lncRNA from 1 species
CCGCCCCGCGCCGGACUCUGGCUGUUUCCCUCAGGCGGCCUGUUCCACGCCAGGAUUAGUUUUGCUUCGCAGAUGGGCCGUGGUGGUGAGAGGAAGCAAUCAGUAUGGAAAUGGAGAAAUGGCUUACCAUGCAUGUCCUUCUCCCCAGGAGGGAGGUCGUGGUGCAGGCGAGCAGGCGCCAAACUCACCUGGACACUUGCCGCCUGCGUUAUGGAGGCUUAGCUGAUAACCUUGCAGGGGCCUUCAGGCUUUUCCACUAGCUCACCUUUAGGCUUCUGACCCUUUUACCUACGAUUGAAAAAAGACGAGAUUCCAUGAGACUAGAAAUGUAGGAGCAUCUCAGACCUUCACAGAACGCUCUGUUAGAAGAUGAGAAACAUAACGUUGCUUGUGAGAGGUAAAGCCAGCUGGACUUCCUGGGUCCAGUGAGGACUUGGAGAACUUUUCUGUCUAGCUAAAGGAUUAUAAAUGCACCAAUCAGCACUCUGUAAAAACACACCAAUCAGCGCUCUGUGUCUAGCUAAAGGAUUGUAAAUGCACCAAUCAACACUCUGUAAAAACGCACCAGUAAGCGCUCUGUGUCUAGCUAAAGGAUUCUAAAUGCAUCAAUCAGCGCUCUGUAAAAAUGUACCAAUCAGCGCUCUGUGUCUAGCUAAAGGAUUGUAAAUGCACCAAUCAGCACUCUGUAAAAUGGACCAAUCAGUACCCUGUAAAAUGGACCAAUCAGCAGGACGUGGGCAGGGACAAAUAAGGGAAUAACAGCUGGCCCCCCCAGCCAGCAGUGGCAACCCACUCGGAUCACCUUCCAUGCUGUGGAAGCCUUGUUAUUUCACUUUUCACAAUAAAUCUUGGUGCUGCUUACUUUUUGGGUCCAUGCCACCUUGAAGAGCUGUAACACUCACCGCGAAGGUCUGAGCCUUCAUUCUUGAAGUCAGUGAGACAAAGAACCCACCGGAAGGAACCAAUUCCAGACACACGUGUAGUAGCAAAUUAUCAAAAAUGUUCAUUGCCUUUUCUGAAAAACAAUUUUCCCAGAAACACCUGGCAGAAUCAGAGUUCAUUGUGUCAAAAGAAAAACUUUGGACAAAUUAAAAUGAGCAAAGAACAAUUUGUGAAUUGUGCCCCUCUCCCAACCAGAACAGGUUCAAAGAGACUCCAGUGCUGCCACGUGAUCAAAGAAUUAUGGACAAAAAAAGCAAAUAAAUUACAGGAAAAGAAAAUGAGGUACAGAAACAGCUGGAUUGGUUACAGCUUGGUGUUUACCUUACUUGAACAAGGUUCGAACAGUUGGCUGCCUUUGAUGGCCUGCAACACAGUGAUUGGUAUAAGAGUAGGUUACAGCCUGUUUACACAUGCAGUUAGGUUACAAUUCACUGUGUGUUGAGAAACCUUUAGACCAAACUUAAAAUUUGUAAGGAGGCAGCUUUAGGCUAAACUUGAUUUAAAAGUUAUUAGAUGUUCCAUCAGUCGUUUCGCCAAUAGGUAAUAGGUUUUUUUGGUUUUGUUUUCUGUGCUAUUAAAAUAGUAUAUAAAACUUGUCAUCAUUGAUUCUGAUUUAUCAUGUUACAGUUCAGUCUCUAAUUGAACUGAGCCUAUUUUUUUCCCUAAAA